CCAACAAGGAAAGCAUGCAGCUGUAACAGUCACAUUUUUGUUUUGUUUAUUUGAUCUUUUUGUUUGUUUUCAUACAUCCAGUUCAAAAGAGCAAGAGUUCUGAUGUACAAGUAGGCAAACAGUAAAAAGGCAUUUCCACAGUCAAUUCAGAAACCCUUUCCAGAUUCAGUGGGACAUAUUCUGGCAGGUAAAAGAAGUUACUGGCAGUGGAUACGUGUUCCUAGAGGUAUCGCUAGUGAAGUUGUUGAUAAUUUGCCUUCAAGGAUAAAUCUUCAAGUUUUACUCAUAGGCCAGUGUUGCUUUCCGUACAUCCCAUGCCCCCGCAAGACGCCUACUACAACAGUCCAGGAAUACUCUGGCAUACGUCCUGUUGACUGGCCUGUGCUUCUUUCUGAAGAUAGAUCUUUGGUAUGAAAACAGAUGCCUGGUUUUCUUCUUUUACAGGAUGCUUUAG